rnacentral:rRNA from 1 species
UUUUACAGAUCUACAGUUGGCCAACAUUGUUAGAGUAAGUUAGAUCAAAUUUAGAAACAAUUCGGGCCUGGUUAGUACUUGGAUGGGAGACUGCCUGGGAAUACUGGGUGCUGUAAGCU